UUGGUAUUCUGCAGCAGCUGCCUCACAGAGCCUGGAGAGCUCCAGCAAGGAUGGGCCGGAACUCCAGCUGCUGUGGAACCAGCUCUUGGAUUUCUUUAUCCAUAUGAAGACCUGCAAAGGGCCUGAUAUUUUUUUUUUCUCCUACGUGCCGGCUAACAAGUUAGUCUGCCAGUGGUCUCCUAGAUGGAGUCUCGUUGUCACCCAGGCUGGAGUGCAGUGGCACGAUCUCGGCU
rnacentral:lncRNA from 1 species